GCCUCCGUGGUCUAAUGGUUAUGACGCUCGCCUUGCACAGCGAGAGGUCGCAGGUUCGAGUCCCGCCUGAGGAA